CGUGUACGUGGUUUUCAGAAACAUUUGGUUGAUGCUGUUAAUGUCACUUCAAAUCAGUUCUAUUAUUCUGACUUUUCAUUCAUUCGUUCCGAAUGUUUUAUUUUUAGAAUCUGCGACUGAUAAGGACAUAACAUCCGUGCAGAAUGCUCAUAGUGUGGUUGAUGCUGACUGACGUUUUCACAAAUCGAAAUUUUUGUUGCUGGAAAAACCCAAACGCUUCUCAAGAAAUUCAUUCUCGUUUAUCUUCAGGUUAUGACGAAUAAGAGGGCAGGUUAGUACAUUCACCCCGAAGGUAAAAAAUAUUUGUCGAUUCUUGAAGAAGCGCGAUAGUUGAGGCGAUAAAGUGCCAGCCUAUCAAUCUCGUUGCCCUGGGUUCGAAUCCUAGGAGCAUUGCUCAGGAGACAAACAACUGUCUUUCGAUAACCUCUCGAACAACAGAAAUUCUAAAUUAUUUGCAAUGAUGAUUCGGUGACAGGUAGUGAACGGGAUACUUUGGCACUGAAAACCCUCGAUUUGUACCUAGUGUUAGAAACUGGAACAGAUACGAUUUAAUAGUGGCAACC